GCACUGGUGGUACAGUGGUGAGCAUAGCUGCCUUCCAAGCAGUUGACCUGACCCGGGUUCGAUUCCCGGCCAAUGCA